UACGAAGGGUGCAAGCGUUAAUCGGAAUUACUGGGCGUAAAGGGUGCGUAGGCGGUUCGUUAAGUCUGUCGUGAAAUCCCCGGGCUCAACCUGGGAAUGGCGAUGGAUACUGGCGAGCUAAAGUGUGUCAGAGGAUGGUGGAAUUCCCGGUGUAGCGGUGAAAUGCGUAGAGAUCGGGAGGAACAUCAGUGGCGAAGGCGGCCAUCUGGGACAACACUGACGCUGAAGCACGAAAGCGUGGGGAGCAAACAGG
rnacentral:rRNA from 1 species